rnacentral:tRNA from 1 species
CGAUGUGGCUCAGGUGGUAGAGCAACUGAUUCGUAAUCAGUAGGUCGGGAGUUCGAGUCUCCCCAUCGGC